AAACUUUCUUCCCCAGGCUCUGGCAUGUUUGAUUCGGCUCGAGUCUGAAUCAUUGAGAAAAAGUUAUUGAGCAACAAGAUCUAACCUGCAGAAGCAUCGUUAAUGGCGGCCUUCCUGGCUGCCUUACCCUUAGAUGCUUUAUCUUUGAAGCCUAAAGCGACCAAUUAAGUGAGAUAAACGUUAUCAUGAUUUUGUGACGAUUGUCGUAGUCAGUCACAGUUAUUGCUGCGUCUUUUAUUGAUAUGUGAGGAUUCAUCAUGAAACACGUUUGUUUUUAAACCAUAUCUCCUGUGUUUCCCUCCCUGUUGUCUGUAUGAGCUUUGUGUCGCUCGUUGUUCUUAUUUACUGUUUAUUUUGUUUGCUACGUGCUCGUGUGUCUCAGUUGGUUCUGCUUCCUGUAAACUCGCCUGUGACUUGUUAGCCAAUCAUAGUUCUGCACCUCCCUGUCAGUCUCCUCGUGUCUCUGUUUUGCCCCUUGUGAUUUUUCUUCCUGCUGCUUUGCUACAACUUUGCUGUACUUUCUAAAACUUUUGCUUUUAUGCUGCUUGUAUUUUCUGGACUCUUUCCUUUUCCUGUUUUGUCUUGAUCUCAAAUCUACUUGUCAGCUGUUUUUUUUUUUUUCCACUUUUUUCUCACGAAAGUAUUAGCAGAUGUUGCCUCAUCUUAAUAUCAUAGUAUUUCUUUUAAAAUUGAUUUAGGCUUGUGCGGCGUUUGUGGAGGACUGUGAUUGCCAUCUUGUGGUGUUUUCAUUUUUCCAUGUUACCUGCUGAGCAACAAAAAAAACCUUUAGAUUUGACAGUCACGCUUUUCUCUUUCUAAAAGAAAUGUCUUUUCUUUUUUGUCUUUAAAUAAACUUUAGUUACCAACCCUGAAUCUAAAAGUGUGCCGACUCUCUCUUGAGACAGUUUCUCUGCUUGUAGUGAUUGCAGCCUGAAGUCUUAGUUUACCAGUCAGUCUGCUGGAUUAUUUGGCUUCAGGCUCUCAGGCUGGUGUGUAUUAACGGGAUAACCUGCUGAACAUCUUCUCUAUUUCUCAGAAUAAAUGUGAGACCUCGGCGAGUUUAAAACUGUAGAAAAAAAUAGAAAAGCAGAAGAUAUUUUUAAAAAUCUUAACCUGUAAUGUAAAUAAAACUCUUUAUCUUUUUAUUUCUGUGCAGACGAGUGCUGAUAUUCUGACCUUGCCUCUGAGCACAUUGCACAAAAGUUGUGA
ensembl:lncRNA